UCACAUAGAGUAAAUGGAAGAAAGGAGAAUGGCAUGUGAAAGUUAUGAGAAACCUCAACAAAUCGGGAAGUCAAUGAUUAUGAGAUUCUUCUCCAUAGACUCUCUACCACUACAAUCAAAAAGGAAUAACAACCAACCAAUUUGGAGACUCAAUCCUAGAGGGUCUUUUUUAGUCAAGUCCUUCUAUAAUUAUUUGAUUAAAAAUGACAUCACAGACAAAAGUUUUCCUUUUUGCCAAAUCUAGAAGGUUAAU
rnacentral:lncRNA from 1 species